rnacentral:rRNA from 1 species
AUGGCCAUCCACACCGUGCUUCAGCUGCUCCUGCUCUUGAUGCGUUUUUGCAUCAGUAGUAGCAGCACCACCACCACCACCACUGCUCCGGCUCCAUUAGCAGUGCGAGCUUCCGGUUCCGUAGCUCCAAGCAACCAAGAGGGCAUCAGGAGAUUCCCAUCUGCCAAUUGUCCAAACAAAUGCGGCCCUAAGCUAAUCAAGUUUCCCUUCGGCAUCGGUCCCGAGUGCUCCCGGCAGACUGGCUUCGACCUCAUCUGCGACAACACCACGCAACCUCCAAGGCUCUAUCUUAGGGACCGCGUCGCCGAGGUUCUGGAUGCCGACUUCGACGGUCGCGUUAGCGAACAAGGUGUAUCUAUCAAUUUCUUGAUUGCCAUCUCAACAAGUCCAAGUGGUGAAAUGCACAGUGUGACAUUAAAGCCCCCCUCCAGCCAUUUCGGUUUCGCUCUUUGGGACCUGUCAAUCACCGUGUGCGGUGUGUACGCCUACUUGAUUGGAAAUUCAAACAUAAACCCAGAAAUUCCGUUCUGCACUAUAUGUGGGGGACAAGGUACAGACCACGAUACGGUGUAUGGGAAGAGAUGCAACGACAUAUCAUCCGAUAUAAUUGCUAAUGCAGUGCAUUUCAAGUUCGUCCCCCUCAAGGAGGCCCAGCAGGUGCAGCGCCGAACUGCCGGGGUCAACACUACGAUGUAUUGGAAUAUAAAUCACCAAGGGACAUGCGUCGAUGCUGAGGCAGAUGAGGCGAACUUCGCUUGCGUCAGCAACCACAGCUUGUGCCAGGACACCAUGCGCAUGCCUGGUUAUUCAUGUUAUUGUCAGGUCGGGUACACGGGCAACCCGUAUGUACUCGAUGGCUGCUCUCGUGAUCCUGGUUACAAUCCGUCGGCUGGACAAAAUAUGGAGUGCAGUCGGUCUUGUGGUAACAUCAAGGUUCUAUUUCCAUUUGGAUUACGACAUGACUGUUCCGCAAUGGGCAGAUUUCAACUCUACUGCAACACAUCAACUUUGACGCUGCAUCUGCAUUCAGAUAUAGGAAUAUUAUUCAUGUCAUAUUAUAUCACAAACAUCAAUACUACUGAGGGCUCCUUGGAUAUCGAAUAUACCUCUCAUGUCGAAUUGCCACUGUCUUCCUAUAACACAUUCUACACUGCUGUUGGUACAUACUCAAGGAAACUGCAAUGGAUCAUCGCAAAUCUAACUUGCCAAGAGGCAGCUCAAGAUAGCUCCACAUUUGCAUGUGUUAGCACCUAUAGCAAAUGUUUACAUGUCAACUCAACUGUACAAGGUUAUCGCUGUAAAUGCAAUGAUGGCUAUGUUGGAAAUCCAUAUGUCACCGGUCCCGAUGGCUGUCAAGAUUUUGAUGAGUGCAAGGUACCAGGCCAUUGUAAAGGAGUAUGCCACAACACUAAUGGAAGUCAUUCUUGUACCGACUGCCCUGGUGAAUAUGACACUACAAAAAUGAAGUGUGCUCCAUCGAAGAAGCAAAUUAUUCUAUCAGGUAUCGCCAUUGGGCUUGGUAUUGGCUUUGGACUUCUACUUCUUGGCUUGAGUGCAUUGUUUAUCCUCCGUAGAUGGAGAAGAGACAUCGAAAAGCAACUGAGAAGAAAGUAUUUUGCAAAGAAUCAUGGCCUCCUUCUAGAACAAUUAAUUUCAUCGAGUGAAGAUGCAAGUCAAAGGACAAAGAUUUUCACUCUGGAAGAGUUAGAGCAGGCAACAAACAAAUUUGAUCACACACGGAUCCUUGGCCGUGGAGGGCAUGGCAUGGUGUACAAAGGCAUCUUGUGUGACCAACGUGUCGUGGCUAUAAAGAAAUCUAAGGUCAUUGAGCAAGGUGAGAUUGACCAAUUCAUCAAUGAGGUCGCCAUCCUUUCACAGAUUAACCACCGAAACAUCGUAAAGCUGUAUGGAUGCUGCCUUGAAACAGAGGUGCCACUACUAGUGUAUGAUUUUGUUCCAAAUGGUUCCUUGUUUGAAAUCCUUCAUUCUGUUCCAAGCAACACCUUUUCAUUGUCCUGGGAUGACUGCUUAAGAAUCGCUGCGCAAGCUGCAGGAGCUCUCUAUUAUCUCCACUCUGCAGCUUCCAUAUCAGUCUUCCAUCGUGAUGUCAAGUCUGCCAAUAUACUCCUAGAUGCAAACUACACUGCAAAAGUUUCCGAUUUUGGUGCAUCGAGAUUGGUGCAUAUAGAUCAAACUCAUGUUACCACACACGUACAAGGCACAUUUGGGUACUUGGAUCCGGAGUAUUUUCGCACUGGGCAGCUAAAUGAAAAGAGCGAUGUGUACAGCUUUGGUGUUGUGCUUUUAGAACUACUUCUCAGACGGAAGCCCAUUUUUACUGGUGAGUCAGGCGCAGCCCAGAGUUUAUCUAUUUAUUUUCUUGCGGAGAUGCAGCAGAGGCCAAUAAAAGAGAUAGUCGCUGCUCAAGUUCGUGAAGAAGCAACCGAGCAAGAAAUUAUCGGUGUUGCCUCCAUUGCAGAGAUGUGCCUACGGAUCCAUGGUGAGGAAAGGCCUACGAUGAAGGAAGUGGAGAUGUCUUUGCAGCUUCUGCAUAAGAAACGUUCGAUGUCAUCCCAUGUCACUCCAAAAAAUGGACGAGCUGAACCUAGUGUCCCGUCUCACUCAGGUAAUGGAGUCAAUCCAGCCUCUGCAGACAGUCAACGAUGUUAUAGCUUGGAGCAAGAGUUCUUAUCAUCUGCUAGCUUGCCGCGCUAA